CAAAAAACGUUCCCAACUCUUCAGGGAUCAAAACUUGAAACCACCCGAGUUAAAUCCAGACGACAGUAGAUCAGAAAUGUCUCUAUUCUGCAAGACCCCCCUCCACUCACACUGUGCUGGCUCACAGAAAGAGCAUGUCAUCAUUUUGGUCAAGGCGUUCUAUGGCAGGUUCAGCAACUGAGGGAGCUGACUUAAAUGAGUAAGCAGAUGAUGUGCCAAAAAGCUGCAAAACGUCAUCAGGCAGCUUGUGCUCAUAGCAAGCAUCACCAGACAGCUUCAGACCAUAUCGGACAUAAAGGAUGGAGUUCAGGGUCUGCAAGGACAUCCGGUUUCUGAGUUUGCUUUUUACCACACUCAUCUGGCUGAAUAGUCUCUCGACUUCAGCAUUCGAGUGUGGCAAGGACAGCACAGACACAGCAGCCAUGAUGGAUGGAACGCCACUGCUGGACAAUCUUGUCUAUAUCUGCAGGAGAGUAGCCAAGGAGCUUGGCUAUUUUUUCGAUUUCUCCCAGGCUCUUACUGUGGUUUAGAGUUUUCUCUACAUUGAAAACGGACAUGUACUGCAAUGCCUCAAUAUUGUCUGGCAGUCUCAACCUCAACUCGUGAGUGAGGGAGAUGGUGAAGGCAACACACCGCUUUCGGACCUGGUUCUUCUCCUCAGGCGCAAGAAGGAGCUCAGCUGCCUUGGACUCAAAAAGGUAACCAAGGUACGGUGAGGGACUGAUGUAUCCAUCAAUUGGCUCUUUGAGAACAUCAAUAUUGGCAAGUGGAUUCAGCACCCUGCUACUCACAGACUUGAUCAGGCUAACCAAGCUGUCAAGUAGCUUCAAAGGAUCCACCUGCUCUCCCUCAAAAGCCUUGAUCGCCAACUGCACCUCACCCAGCACCGACUUCAAAAAAGUGAGGUACAAAAUGUUCUGAGGAUCACUGUACAUGGAGUGUAAAACCUCAGCCAUGUAACAGUGUUCACUGGACUUGGUGACUGCAAAAUGCAGUUUAAGCGCCUCCCACUGGUCCAAAAUGCGUGUAACCGCUGGUUCAAUGGAGAGCCAACGUGUCGCACACACCUUUGUUAUUUGUAAGGGCUGCUCCCCACAGUUGAUGGUCUCAUAUAUGGCCUUAUAGGCGUCCCUGCGCUUUGGAGACACCGAAAACCAGUUAUAGGUCUCCCGUACCAAGUACUCCACACUACGGGGGAGGGUGUCAUUGGAAGCAUGAGUUACAGCAAGUUGCAGAGAAUGACACACACAGUGAAUAAGAACCAGAUCUUUGAUGCCAUACUCCUCCUUCAGCACUUUAUGGACCCCAUUCUUAUUCCCCGUCAUAACUGAGGCAUUGUCAGUCCCUAUCCCCAGGAGUUUCUCUUUUUUGAGACAACACUUCUCCAGGAAAGCCACAAGAGCUUGGGCUAUAGAUCUGGCAUCUCCUCCCUCCAACUGAACAAGCCCCAGAAAUGUUGAGACAAUUGUUUGUUUUGUGUUACUAAAGUACCUUAUCACAACCCCCAGGUACUUAGAAACACUGACAUCAGUGGACUCAUCAAGGAGGAGGCUGAAACGCUGGUCACCCACAUCUGCGACCAACUUUUUCAGGAAGUAUGGUGCUCGAACACCAUUUAUCAUCUCGGUGCACUUUGUCCGAUGCAUUUUGAAGUGCUUAGCAGCAGUGGAGUCCGAGAAAGAAGCUUUACAUGCCUCCCCAAUGUGAUCACAUGCAGCAUUGAACAGUGUUCAGCCAUAGCUAAAGCCAUGAUGGCUUCAGCCUUUUUUGCAGGGUCAAUUGUUUUAGU